AACGAACGCUGGCGGCAUGCCUAACACAUGCAAGUCGAACGAGACCUUCGGGUCUAUUGGCGCACGGGUGCGUAACGCGUGGGAACCUGCCCUUAGGUUCGGAAUAACUCAGAGAAAUUUGAGCUAAUACCGGAUAAUGUCUUCGGACCAAAGAUUUAUCGCCUUUGGAUGGGCCCGCGUAGGAUUAGCUUGUUGGUGGGGUAAUGGCCUACCAAGGCGACGAUCCUUAGCUGGUCUGAGAGGAUGAUCAGCCACACUGGGACUGAGACACGGCCCAGACUCCUACGGGAGGAAGCAGUGGGGAAUAUUGGACAAUGGGAGAAAGCCUGAUCCAGCAAUGCCGCGUGAGUGAUGAAGGCCUUAGGGUUGUAAAGCUCUUUUACCAGGGAUGAUAAUGACAGUACCUGGAGAAUAAGCUCCGGCUAACUCCGUG
rnacentral:rRNA from 1 species